GACGAGGGAUCCUAGCGUUGUUCGGAAUUAUUGGGCGUAAAGCGGGUGUAGGUGGACUUCUAAGUCAGGUGUGAAAUCCCAGGGCUCAACCCUGGAAGUGCACUUGAUACUGGAAGUCUUGAGUGUGGUAGAGGCUAUUAGAAUUCUUGGUGUAGUGGUGAAAUACGUAGAUAUCAAGAGGAAUACCGGAGGCGAAGGCGGAUAGCUGGGCCAACACUGACACUGAGACCCGAAAGCGUGGGGAUCAAACAGG
rnacentral:rRNA from 1 species